rnacentral:rRNA from 1 species
GGAGGAAAAGAAACCAACAGGGAUUGCCUCAGUAGCGGCGAGUGAAGCGGCAAAAGCUCAAAUUUGAAAUCUGGCGUCUUUGGCGUCCGAGUUGUAAUUUGAAGAAGGUAUCUUUGGGCCCGGCUCUUGUCUAUGUUCCUUGGAACAGGACGUCACAGAGGGUGAGAAUCCCGUGCGAUGAGAUGACCCGGGUCUGUGUAAAGUUCCUUCGACGAGUCGAGUUGUUUGGGAAUGCAGCUCUAAGUGGGUGGUAAAUUCCAUCUAAAGCUAAAUAUUGGCGAGAGACCGAUAGCGAACAAGUACAGUGAUGGAAAGAUGAAAAGAACUUUGAAAAGAGAGUGAAAAAGUACGUGAAAUUGUUGAAAGGGAAGGGCUUGAGAUCAGACUUGGUAUUUUGCAUGCUGCUCUCUCGGGGGCGGCCGCUGCGGUUUACCGGGCCAGCAUCGGUUUGGAGCGGCAGGAUAAUGGCGGAGGAAUGUGGCACGGCUUCUGCUGUGUGUUAUAGCCUCUGACGAUACUGCCAGCCUAGACCGAGGACUGCGG